AACGCGAAGAACCUUACCCAGACUUGACAUGCAGAGGACAGAUGCAGAAAUGUGUCAUCCCUUCGGGGCCUCUGCACAGGUGCUGCAUGGCUGUCGUCAGCUCGUGCCGUGAGGUGUUGGGUUAAGUCCCGCAACGAGCGCAACCCUUAUCAUUAGUUGCCAACAUGUAAAGAUGGGAACUCUAAUGAGACUGCCUAGGUUAACUAGGAGGAAGGUGAGGAUGACGUCAAGUCCGCAUGGCCCUUAUGUCUGGGGCUACACACGUGCUACAAUGGUCGGUACAGAAGGCAGCGAAGCCGCGAGGUGGAGCAAAUCCCAAAAGCCGAUCUCAGUUCGGAUUGUAGUCUGCAACUCGACUACAUGAAGCCGGAAUUGCUAGUAAUGGCGAGUCAGCAACAUCGCCGUGAAUACGUUCCCGGGCCUUGUACACACCGGUAUCUC
rnacentral:rRNA from 1 species